rnacentral:rRNA from 1 species
UACAUGGGGUGCAAACGUUGCUCGGAAUCACUGGGCGUAAAGCGCACGUAGGCGGCUCGAAAAGUCGGAUGUGAAAGCCCUGGGCUCAACCUAGGAAGUGCAUUCGAAACUGCCGAGCUUGAGUACGGGAGAGGGUUGCGGAAUUCCCGGUGUAGAGGUGAAAUUCGUAGAUAUCGGGAGGAACACCAGUGGCGAAGGCGGCAGCCUGGACCGAUACUGACGCUGAGGUGCGAAAGCGUGGGGAGCAAACAGG